UGCGCACGCUUGCAGCGCAUACGUCCUCUUGUCUGUCCGCCUCAGCGAAGCGUCCCUCACUGUGUCUUGCAGCUGCGCCUCUGCUGAUCGUGUGUGUCUGUCUGUGUGUGUGUGUGUGUGUGUGUGUGUGUGUGUGUGUUUAGGGAGGCUCGAUUUUGCUUGCUCGCGUCCGCUUCCGCCUCUCCCUCACCCACCGCCACCGCGCUGUUCCCGCGUGCGUUCGUGUGCACGUAUGCGUUUAGUGGCCCCCCCUCCCCCUCCCCGUGUGUGUAUGUAUAUGUCUGUGUCUGUGUGUGUGUGUGUGUGUCGGUGAUCCUCAUAUUAGCACAUCUCCAAACUAUCUGUGCGCAAACUUCACUACGUACUGCUCCCCCCCCCUCCCCUUCCCUCCCUCCUUCUCACUCGCCACCGCACCGGCCUUCUCGGCUUCUUCGUUCGUGCUCGACGCUGCAUUAUUGUCCCCACUACUACCGACCGACCAGCCGACCGCUCCUUUCCCUCUUGUCCCUUGCGUGCGCGUGUUUGUGCCUCGGUCGACUGACAGUGUGGGGUAGUGCCACGCGCCGUCAUACUCGUCGUGGUGGGCCGCUGCUUCCCUUCUCGAGCACAGAGAGAGAGAGAGCAGCCGCCCCGCCCCCGCUCCUCGUUUCCUUGUCCCCUCCCACCACGCCACUCUUCUCGCUCGGCCGUGUGUGCGCGUGCGUGAGCAGGCGUUAGACAGCGCUUUCAGUGAUCAGCGUUUCGAUUCUCAAGGAUGGACUCCGCCGCCCCGGACCAGGCGCAUGGGCCCGCGUCAGGGACCGACUACUCCCGUGCAUCUCGUCGCCACAAUCACCGCAGCAGCGCCGACGCAGGCCGAAACGGCGACGCUGAGCCAUCCGGGAGCCGCACCAGCAGCUCGCGGCAUCAUCGCCACCACCGCCAUCACCGGCCGGACGACAGUGAGCACAGUUCGCGCCGCUACAAGCACCGAUCCCACCGUCGAACGGAUAGCGCGCAGGUCGAUGACACAACAGCCGUGCCGAGCGAAAACAAUUUCGCCGCAUCCAGCGCCAAGGAGCAUCAAGACUCGCAGGCGCAGGAGCCGCAGCAGCCUUCGCUAGACGACGAGGCGCCGAGCAGCUGCGUCAGCACCCAUAGCUCGCGACUGCCACCCCGAAGACACGAGCGGCUUUCCGUGACGGAAGCACCUGGAGAGCCGCAGAGAUCCUUCGCCUCGCCCGCGUCAUCCACCGCGGUGCCGGGCUCCAGCGCUGCCAGUGAGAUAAUCCGCAGUGGAAGUGCGCUAGCACGGCGGAACGGUGCGGCGAUCAACGGUCGCAGCUCUGCCGGAAGCUCUGCGGCAGCCGCAGCAGCAGCAGUGGGUGCGCUAAAGGCAGCCGCAGCACCUUCAUUGCCGUCGUGGGGCCGGAAGUCGUCGUCGUCACGCACCUUCUCAGAGAAGCCGCCGGCUGAGGCGAGCAGUGAUGCUGCGGACGGCGCCGCGCCCGCCUUGAAAACGCCAGCACACCAGCAGCCCCCACCGCCACCGGAAGCGGUCGUCGCAUCCCCAUCGCCGGCCGCGGCUUCCCUGGCGUCACUCGAAGCUGCCGUCGUCGAAGCCGACGCGAUGGUGCGCUCUUGGCAGCAGUGCAUCGACCCGAACAUGGAGAAUCUACCGUCAUCUCUUACUUCCUCCGUCUUUCGCUCGGGCCACAGCGCUGCACCGGCUGUGCCGCCACCACCCGCUCCGCCGUCGGCGUCCGCCGCUCAUCCGGCACACCGCAGAGAUGCGGCGGAGGAGGCGUCGCAGACAAGUUCACGACUGAAGAGGACGUCACAAGCAUCGAGUCGGUGCGGCGCCGGCGAAGUUCACAAGAAGGCCAGUGAAGACGCUGCCGAGGGCGGCAUGAACCCCGCGCGCCACGAGUCCGCCGCCGCCUCGCCGGUUGGCGUGCCCGCCGCAGCAGAGGCGGUCGUCACCACGCGUCAGCCGUCGUCUGUGCGUUCACACGCGUCGUCUGCGGUGGUUGAGGAUGCGCGCAGGAGCAACGCCUCGGUGCGUCCUGACGUAGGUGAGGAACACGGCGUCACAGGGAGCUCGGCGAGCUCGGUGUAUCAGCGCCUGCCGAGGGCAGACCCGUUCGACAAGGAGAGCGUAAGCAGCUCUCACUGCGACAGCGGCGCGCUCCCGCCGCCUCCGGCCUUCUCGUCGUUCGCGUCGGUGCCGUCCGUUGCCGCGGCCAUGUCGUUCAAGUCUCCAGGCCAGCAGGCCAGCCAACGCUCCUUUAGUGGCUCGUGUCGGCGGCGCGUUGCCGCCGCGAGCGAGCUGCGAGUCGUCUUAUGUCGGCGCGCGUUGCGCAGCGGAGGAAGCGUCACCAGCCGCUCCACAGCAGGCUUUGAACCCUUCCACCUAAACACGGAGCGCCGCAGCGCAGUCCGGCGAUCGAUGUCACCUUGCUGCGCACCGCCGGACCCGCUUGCCAGCGUGCCUGCGCAAGAGCGGCAGCGGCUACUGAACUUGCCGCAUCAGCUGAGCACCGCACCCGGCACCUCGCGCCUGGAUAUGAACUUCGAGCAGGACGUGAAGGAGCUGUACAGGCAGACGCACCUUGUCGAUCCGCUCCUGCUUAGCCGUCCUGGGCGGCGCCAGUUUUACAUCCCAGAGCAGGCAGACCUGUUCGGCAUGUACCCAGAGCCGCCGAUGACGACGGACGAGGACGGCAACGAGAUCGUCAAGCACCUCGCGCCGAUCCCAAUCCAAGCGCAGAGCUUCGUGCCAUCGCAGACGCGGAAGUCGUCACAGCAGCCACCGAUGGCUCCUGCCUCCCGCGUGCAGCACGGGAAGGCGGCAGAAGCUGAUGCAACUGGCGGCAGCAGCAGCGGUAGGGCGGUGGUCCGCCCUGGCCGCGGUCUCUCCAGUUUUGUCGUCGGGUACGGCGAGGAGACAACGGCAAAGGGGCGCGGCGGCCUUACGCAGCCGCGCGGCCGCAUCGUCAGCGACAUCACCGCGCCGUACCGACGCAACAUGGCGGCUAACACAGGGCGCACCGGCCACAUCCAGCGCGAGGCGCUCAUGGCCAACUGCCUACUCCCACCGUGUGGCUCAGAGACGCCACUUCCAGCCUCGGCGAGGUCGUUGUCGCCUGGUAUGAUGGCGGCGGACGAGUCGCAGGCCUCGACACCGUUCACCAUCAUGCGGCCCACGCCAUCCUCAGAGCCGAGUAACGGCAUCCCAAUAUCGGACAGCGAGUACGGCUAUGCGCAGGUGACGACAGCACGCAUGAUGCCUGCGGCCGUAUCGCUGCAAGAUCAGCAGCAGCCGUGUGUCAAUGCCGUGGCGGCGUUCGCUGAGGACGAGGAGUACAGCUACAAUGUGCAGUCCGCUGCAGUCAUGGUGUCAUCGAAGCCAACGCUCACGGUGUCCGCGGCAGUUGUCGUUCAGUCAUCCCUGGGGGGUGGCGCAGGAAGCAGCAGCAGCCACAGCGAAGGCAUCUCCGUGCAGGUGAAACCGACCGUGGCUCCACCGCCGACGCGCGUCGAUGCUAGCACUGCAAUGGUGCUCGCCGCGGCACCGAAACUUACGGGCACGCCGCGUUCGACCAGCACCGAUGGCGCUGCCGCUGCCGCGACGGAGCGACGAAGCUGUCCAGUGCGCCGCGGUGAAGGGGCGGUGAACGCGGCAGAGAAGGCGUCUGCGUCGUCUUUGGUUUCCGCAAGCGCCUCUCUCCUCAAUGAGGCCAUCACGGGUGCGAGCAGCAGCAACAGCAGCAGUGCCGUGACCAGUGAGCCGAAGAAGGCACCAAAGGACUCGCGGCGAAGCACAGGAAUCCUCAAGUCACUUCCGCUGCAGCAGCAGGCGGAGCAACUGCAACCUGGAGAAUCAGAGGCGGUCGCGGCCGCCGCUUCACAGUCGACCGCACCGACGCCCAAGACAGCACCAUCGUCUGUCAUGGACAAGUCGACGCACUCCCUCGCCUUCAGCGUGGCGGCGUCGUCGACCGUCGUGGAUCCAUCGCCGGAGCCGCCGAUCCCCACCGCGCGCCGACACGCAGACCCGGUGCCCGUGUCGAUGUCGCCGCUGUCCGAGUCAUCCUUGCCGUCGCAGCGUAACAGGCGGGAGAGGUUCCAGCCGACGAAGGAAACGCGGGUGUCGCCGAGCACAUCCUUGACUGGCACACCACCUGCCCUGCCCCCACCGCCACAAGCAAAGCCGGCAGCAGCCGUCAGCAGUGAGCCCGACAAGCCUUCGGCAGUUCACGAAGGCUAUGGCUCCGCGCUGGAAAGGUACAGACGCAAGGAGGCAGCCAUGUCAAAGGAUGGCAACAUGCGCCGUGUGUAUCGCAGAAGCCGGCGUAGCGAGUCCGGCGCCACCGUGGAGGCUGUGGCAGAAGUACCUGCUGCCACAGCGGCUCACGGUGACACCCUGGCGUGCUUUCCGCCGGGAUCGAAGCCAGCGUCCGCGCUGUCGAUGGCCGCCUCCACCUCGUCACCGAAUGUCGUUGACAGCGCUGCCGCCGGGCACCGCAGCCGCUGCCGCGAAACCCCGCUCGCCCUCGAUCGCGGCACGCAGACGGAGUUCGUCUUUGUGCUAGAUGACCUGCAAGGCCGCCAGCUCCAACAACUUCAGCAAGAGCAGCUGCUAAAGAACCUACAGCUCAUGCAGUUGCAGCUCCAAAGGCAGCCGCUGCUGAUCCUUAACGCGGGCAGCUAUAGCCCGUCCACCUUCACCACGACAUCUACGCCGCGGAUGUCACUGAGCCCGCAACCGCAAACCUCAGGCAGCACGAGCCCUUCUAUGAAGCCGCGUCAGCACUCCGCUGGCCUCUCCCCGACCCGGCAGCGGCGCGGCUACUUCGUCAACGAUUCCCGCGCCGUGCGCGAUGCGCUGUGGUGGCCAAGGUAAAGGAUCGCCGAAGCAAGCAGCCGCCAACGAGCGAAAAGGCGUCUCUGUGUGUGUGCAUGUAUGUUAGUUGAAGCGUGCUGUUGGUCUCCACGUGGGGGAGUGGGGGGGGGGGGGGACGAGUGUGCUCUGCGCCGCGGUAUUGAGGAACGAACGCCCCCGCCGCCCGCCCGCCCGCGCCAACGCCGCUAUCCGUGUUCUCCCUCUCUUGCCAAGCGUCGCCCUUCCCUCUGUGUGAGGGGUGCGGAGGUGUGGCGCGUUUGUGAUGCGAUCGUGGCGCGCGUGUCCGCGAAGACCCAUACGCCCAUC
rnacentral:misc_RNA from 1 species